GAUGAACGCUGGCGGCGUGCCUAAUACAUGCAAGUCGAGCGAACGGACGAGAAGCUUGCUUUUCUGAUGUUAGCGGCGGACGGGUGAGUACACGUGGAUAACCUACCUAUAAGACUGGGAUAACUUCGGGAAACCGGAGCUAAUACCGGAUAAUAUUUUGAACCGCAUGGUUCAAAAGUGAAAGACGGUCUUGCUGUCACUUAUAGAUGGAUCCGCGCUGCAUUAGCUAGUUGGUAAGGUAACGGCUUACCAAGGCAAUGAUGCAUAGCCGACCUGAGAGGGUGAUCGGCCACACUGGAACUGAGACACGGUCCAGACUCCUACGGGAGGCAGCAGUAGGGAAUCUUCCGCAAAGGGCGAAAGCCUGACGGAGCAACGCCGCGUGAGUGAUGAAGGUCUUCGGAUCGUAAAACUCUGUUAUUAGGGAAGAACAUAUGUGUAAGUAACUGUGCACAUCUUGACGGUACCUAAUCAGAAAGCCACGGCUAACUACGUG
rnacentral:rRNA from 1 species